rnacentral:rRNA from 1 species
UACGUAGGGGGCAAGCGUUGUCCGGAAUCAUUGGGCGUAAAGCGUGCGCAGGCGGUUCGUUGUGUCGGCGGUGAAAGCCCCGGGCUCAACCUGGGAAUGGCCGUUGAAACUGGCGAACUGGAGUGUGGCAGAGGGGGGUGGAAUUCCGCGUGUAGCAGUGAAAUGCGUAGAGAUGCGGAGGAACACCGAUGGCGAAGGCAGCCCCCUGGGCUAACACUGACGCUCAGGCACGAAAGCGUGGGGAGCAAACAGG